rnacentral:lncRNA from 1 species
AGGGGAAAGUCCCCUUAAUGGCACCUCCACACCUCUACACGACCCCACGAAAAGCAAGGGGAGGACCCUCACUCGGAAAGAGGAGAAAAAUUAAGAAGGAAAGCGAUGAAUUACACCGGCAACAGACGAAAAAUAAACCACACCAAAGAUCUAGGGAGCCUCGUCUCAACAAAGACGGAAAGUUCCUACCAAACAUCCCCGGCCUCUAAGAAGGCUCUCGACAC